rnacentral:rRNA from 1 species
GACGAACGCUGGCGGCGUGCUUAACACAUGCAAGUCGAACGGAAAGGCCCUGCUUUUGUGGGGUGCUCGAGUGGCGAACGGGUGAGUAACACGUGAGUAACCUGCCCUUGACUUUGGGAUAACUUCAGGAAACUGGGGCUAAUACCGGAUAGGAGCUCCUGCUGCAUGGUGGGGGUUGGAAAGUUUCGGCGGUUGGGGAUGGACUCCCGGCUUAUCAGCUUGUUGGUGGGGUAGUGGCUUACCAAGGCUUUGACGGGUAGCCGGCCUGAGAGGGUGACCGGCGACAUUGGGACUGAGAGACGGACCAGACUCCUACGGGAGGCAGCAGUGGGGAAUAUUGCCCAGUGGGCGGAAGCCUGAUGCAGCGACGCCGCGUGCGGGAUGACGGCCUUCGGGUUGGAAACCGCAUUCGCCUGUGACGAAGCGUGAGUGACGGUAAUGGGUAAAGAAGCACCGGCUAACUACGUG